rnacentral:lncRNA from 1 species
CCUGCCUCAGCUUCCCAAAGUGCUGGGGUUACAGGCAUGAGCCACUGUGCCCAGCCAAGAAUGUUUACAAAUUUUUUAGGUGAGGUUAACCUUUUAAACCACUCUUUUCAGAUCUUCUGUCUACAUGGUGGUCUCUCGCCAUCUAUAGAUACACUGGAUCAUAUCAGAGCACUUGAUCGCCUACAAGAAGUUCCCCAUGAGGGUCCAAUGUGUGACUUGCUGUGGUCAGAUCCAGAUGACCGUGGUGGUUGGGGUAUAUCUCCUCGAGGAGCUGGUUACACCUUUGGGCAAGAUAUUUCUGAGACAUUUAAUCAUGCCAAUGGCCUCACGUUGGUGUCUAGAGCUCACCAGCUAGUGAUGGAGGUAUG